rnacentral:rRNA from 1 species
GACGAACGCUGGCGGCGUGCUUAACACAUGCAAGUCGAACGGAAAGGCCCUGCUUUUGUGGGGUGCUCGAGUGGCGAACGGGUGAGUAACACGUGAGUAACCUGCCCUUGACUUUGGGAUAACUUCAGGAAACUGGGGCUAAUACCGGAUAGGAGCUCCUGCUGCAUGGUGGGGGUUGGAAAGUUUCGGCGGUUGGGGAUGGACUCGCGGCUUAUCAGCUUGUUGGUGGGGUAGUGGCUUACCAAGGCUUUGACGGGUAGCCGGCCUGAGAGGGUGACCGGCCACAUUGGGACUGAGAUACGGCCCAGACUACUACGGGAGGCAGCAGUGGGGAAUAUUGCACAAUGGGCGGAAGCCUGAUGCAGCAACGCCGCGUGCGGGAUGACGGCCUUCGGGUUGUAAACCGCUUUCGCCUGUGACGAAGCGUGAGUGACGGUAAUGGGUAAAGAAGCACCGGCUAACUACGUG